CAAGAGCGUAUAUUAAAGUUGUUGCAGUUAAAAAGCUCGUAGUUGGAUUUCUGGUACAAUGCGCCUGGCCCCGCGGCAGUAAUGCCUGUGAGUGCCGGUGCGCGUUGGCCAUCCUUCUAGAAAACGUUUCUACCAUUAACUUGGCUGGACUCGCGAUCUAGAUCUUUUUUACUUUUGAAAAAAAUUAGAGUGUUCAAAGCAGGCUUUUGCUGUGAAUACAUUAGCAUGGAAUAAUAAUCUAGGACUUCGGUUUUUAUUUUGUUGGUUUCUAAAAAUUGAAAGUAAUGAUUGAUAGGGGAUAGUUGGGGGUGCUAGUAUUGGCCGGCCAGAGGUGAAAUUCUUGGAUUCGGUCAAGACUAACUUAUGC
rnacentral:rRNA from 1 species